rnacentral:rRNA from 1 species
UACAGAGGUGCCGAGCGUUGUCCGGAUUCAUUGGGCGUAAAGCGCUUUAAGGCGGUUCGCUAAGUCGGGUGUGAAACCUCCAGGCUCAACCUGGAGACGCCACUCGAUACUGGCGUGACUAGAGUCCGGUAGGGGACCACGGAAUUCCUGGUGUAGCGGUGAAAUGCGCAGAUAUCAGGAGGAACACCAGUGGCGAAGGCGGUGGUCUGGGCCGGAACUGACGCUGUAGAGCGAAAGCGUGGGGAGCGAACAGG